CUGGGAAGUGAUGUCCGCUUCCUGCCCUCCCUGCGUGUCUGAGGGCGUAGAGGAAGCCCGUAAACAAACUACAAGUCCCAGAAGGCGGUGCGUCCGGAGUCUGGAGUAGGCUGGGGCCGAGCCGCCGGGCUCGCGGAGGCGGCGGCGGCUGCUGCUAAGGCUGAAGGAGCCGGGCCGGGCCCGCGGCAGAGGCCGUGGCUGGAACUGGGAAGGUGGCGGGGACGGACGCGGGGGUAAGAUGGCGACGUCAGGGGCGAACGGGCCGGGUUCCGCCACAGCCUCAGCGUCCAAUCCACGCAAGUUUAGUGAGAAGAUUGCGCUGCAGAAGCAGCGUCAGGCCGAGGAGACGGCGGCCUUCGAGGAGGUGAUGAUGGACAUCGGCUCCACACGGUUACAGGCCCAAAAACUGCGACUGGCUUAUACAAGGAGCUCCCAUUAUGGUGGUUCUCUGCCCAAUGUUAACCAGAUUGGCUGUGGCCUGGCUGAGUUCCAGAGCCCCCUUCACUCACCUUUGGAUUCAUCUCGGAGCACUCGGCACCAUGGGUUGGUGGAACGGGUACAACGAGAUGCCCGCAGAAUGGUGUCCCCACUCCGCCGAUACCCCCGCCACAUUGACAGUUCUCCAUAUAGCCCUGCCUAUUUAUCUCCUCCCCCAGAGUCUGGCUGGCGAAGGAUGAUGCCCUGGGGCAACCUCCCAGCUGAGAAGGGGCAGUUGUUUAGACUGCCGUCUGCACUUAACAGGACAAGCUCUGACUCUGCUCUUCACACAAGUGUGAUGAACCCUAACCCCCAAGACACUUAUCCAGGCCCCACACCUCCCAGUGUCCUGCCCAGCCGCCGAGGAGGAGGUUUUCUGGAUGGUGAGAUGGAUGCUAAAGUCCCUGCUAUUGAGGAGAACGUGGUAGAUGACAAGCAUCUGCUGAAACCUUGGGAUGCUAAGAAGCUGUCCUCAUCUUCCUCUCGACCUCGAUCCUGUGAAGUCCCUGGAAUCAACAUCUUUCCAUCUCCUGACCAGCCUGCUAAUGUGCCUGUCCUCCCACCUGCCAUGAACACAGGAGGCUCCCUACCUGACCUCACCAACCUACACUUCCCUCCUCCACUGCCCACACCCCUGGACCCUGAGGAGACAGUCUAUCCCAGCCUGAGUGGGGGCAACAGUACCACCAAUUUGACCCAUACUAUGACCCAUUUGGGCAUCAGUGGAGGUCUGGGCUUGGGCCCCAGCUAUGAUGUACCAGGACUUCACUCACCUCUUAGCCACCCAUCCCUGCAGUCCUCCCUAAGCAAUCCCAACCUCCAGGCUUCCCUAAGUAGUCCUCAACCCCAGCUCCAGGGCUCCCAUAGUCACCCAUCACUGCCUGCCUCCUCCUUGGCCCACCAUGCACUGCCCACCACCUCCCUGGGCCACCCGUCACUUAGUGCCCCAGCCCUUUCCUCCUCCUCUUCCUCUUCGUCCACUUCAUCUCCUGUCCUGAGUGCUCCCCCUUACCCAGCUUCUACUCCUGGGGCCUCUCCCCGCCACCGUCGUGUGCCCCUCAGCCCCCUGAGCUUGCCCGCGGGCCCAGCCGACGCCAGAAGGUCCCAACAGCAGCUGCCCAAACAGUUUUCGCCAACAAUGUCACCCACCUUGUCUUCCAUCACUCAGGGCGUUCCCUUGGAUACCAGUAAAUUGCCUACUGACCAGCGAUUGCCCCCAUACCCAUAUAGCCCCCCAAGUCUAGUUAUACCCACCCAUCCACCCACCCCAAAGUCUCUACAGCAGUUGCCCUCUCAGGCCUGCUUAGUGCAGCCCUCAGGUGGACAGCCUCCAGGCAGGCAGCCACAUUAUGGGGCACUGUACCCACCUGGGUCCAGUGGACAUGGGCAACAGCCUUACCACCGCCCAAUAAAUGACUUCAGCUUGGGGAAUGUAACAUAGCAAUGCCAGCUUGGGGCUCCUGUCUUCCUGUGUUUGACCCCUACUCCUGCCCCUCUGUUUCUGCUCAGCUUGCUCUUUGAUGACUCCUGCCUUGACCCGUUCUCUUCCUGGCAUGCACAUGCUCUGGCCCAGCAGCUGGAGCAAUUCAACAUGGAGAGCCCAUCAACCAGCCUGGUGCUGGAUCCCCCUGCCUUUUCUGAAGGUCCUGGAUUUUUAGGGAGUGAGGGAUCAAUGAGUGGCCCCCAGGACCCUCACGUCCUCAACCACCAGAACUUGACCCACUGUUCCCGCCAUGGCUCAGGACCUAAUAUCAUACUCACAGGAGACUCUUCCCCAGGUUUCUCUAAGGAGAUUGCAGCAGCCCUGGCUGGAGUGCCUGGCUUUGAGGUGUCAGCAUCUGGGUUGGAGCUGGGCCUGGGGCUAGAAGAUGAGCUGCGCAUGGAGCCACUGGGCCUGGAAGGACUAACUAUGCUGAGUGACCCCUGUGCCCUGCUGCCUGACCCUGCUGUGGAGGACUCAUUCCGUAGUGAUCGGCUACAGUGAGGGGACCUCACUGCCAUCCUUCUUCAUGGCCCUGUCCCAUCAGUCUUCAUCCCUUCCCCCUGGCCAGUAGAGACUACUCUCUGCCCCCAGAUCCUUUUUCUAAUAUGAAUGAAGGAUCCUAAAACUGAGGAAAGGGAAGGGGCUUGGCCAGGUGGCCCCUGAAUGCUGUAUGUCUGGUGGGCUUGGGGGAAUUCAAGGGAGGGCCUAAAAGCACUUGUAACUUUGAAAACCGUCUGUCUGGAGGUCAGAGCCUGUUGGGAAGCAAGGUGUAGAGGGAAAUCUUGGAGAGAGGGCUUGUCCAGAAGGGAUGGGCACUACCAGCCCCUCCCUAUUUCUCUUCCCCUUGCAAUGGAAGAGAGAGCCAGAAUGGAUAUUAUUUUUUAUUAAAUAUAUUAUAUGUUAAUAAAAAAUCCUAUUAAACCUUU